UCAACGAGUACAAAGGUUUUAUACCUUCAGAAAAGAUUGGUUUGCAUCUUCUUUUACUUAAAUGUUUCUUUUUACCUUUCCCCAGAUAUUCGUACUUGCCAAGCCUAUUCAGAAAAGUACUUAAGUAUUCCUGUACUCAUGGUGAACACCAAGCCUCAUUCCUUGUAAUCAUAUAAAAACAAACAAACAAAAAAAACCGGUUUCAUUUGCUGAACAGCAUGAUGUAGGAUUGUAUCAAUCACUGUGCUUCUCCAAGAAAGGAGGUAAGAGUGUCUCUAACUCUGGGCUCUGGGACCACCUGCUGUGCACUGGGUGAGUUCUAUAUGUGCCAUGAUCAGAUCUCCCUACAGAGGAAGAAGGAUUUUACAUUUUCUGUGGCUGUGACAGAAGAGUCCACAAAAUAGACUAGGAGACAUAUAGUUUUUCCUUCUUUCUAAAUUAAACUAGUUCUUGUACUUCACCUUUAUCACUGUAACCAAGCAAUGGAGUCCCCAUCAACCCUGGUCCAGUGAUAACUAGUACAACAAGAUAAGAAACUGAACUGUUAAGUAGUGAGUGCAUGCUCAGUCAUGUCCAACUCUGUGUGAUGCCAUGUCCAUGGAAUUUUCCAGGCAAGUCAGCACUAGAUAAAUAUGUAUUGAAUUAAAUAAGAAAUGUAUUGUCAAUGUCCUCAUAACUAAAUUGUCUCUUUAGUGCACACUGAGUUUCAGUGAAAUUUUUAAAAAUGUCCUUGUGGUUUUUGAAGAUCCUUUCCAUGAAGUUGUUCUUACUGAAUAUCUGUUCUACUUGUGAAUCAUGAGAAACACAGUCAGUUUGAAAAAAUAUAGGACAUAGGAGCAUAAAAAAACAAAAACAAAGAAAAAGAGGAUUCAGGAGAUGUUUAGUACUUCUGUUGCUAGAGUUUUCUCCAGAACUUUUUGAUAAUUCUCUU
rnacentral:lncRNA from 1 species